GACGAACGCUGGCGGCGUGCUUAACACAUGCAAGUCGAACGGAAAGGCCCUGCUUUUGUGGGGUGCUCGAGUGGCGAACGGGUGAGUAACACGUGAGUAACCUGCCCUUGACUUUGGGAUAACUUCAGGAAACUGGGGCUAAUACCGGAUAGGAGCUCCUGCUGCAUGGUGGGGGUUGGAAAGUUUCGGCGGUUGGGGAUGGACUCGCGGCUUAUCAGCUUGUUGGUGGGGUAGUGGCUUACCAAGGCUUUGACGGGUAGCCGGCCUGAGAGGGUGACCGGCCACAUUGGGACUGAGAUACGACCCAGACUCCUACGGGAGGCAGCAGUGGGGAAUAUUGCACAAUGGGCGGAAGCCUGAUGCAGCAACGCCGCGUGCGGGAUGACGGCCUUCGGGUUGUAAACCGCUUUCGCCUGUGACGAAGCGUGAGUGACGGUAAUGGGUAAAGAAGCACCGGCUAACUACG
rnacentral:rRNA from 1 species